UACGGAGGGUGCAAGCGUUAUCCGGAUUCACUGGGUUUAAAGGGUGCGUAGGCGGAUAAGUAAGUCCGUGGUGAAAUCCUGCAGCUUAACUGCAGAACUGCCAUGGAUACUAUUUAUCUUGAAUGUCGUGGAGGUUAGCAGAAUAUGUCAUGUAGCGGUGAAAUGCUUAGAUAUGACAUAGAAUACCCAUUGCGAAGGCAGCUAACUACGCGAUAAUUGACGCUGAUGCACGAAAGCGUGGGGAUCAAACAGG
rnacentral:rRNA from 1 species